rnacentral:rRNA from 1 species
CCAGCCGUAAACGAUGGGUACUAGGUGUUGUCACUUCAUUGUGGCAGUGCCGGAGUUAACGCAAUAAGUACCCCGCCUGGGGAGUACGGCCGCAAGGCUGAAACUCAAAGGAAUUGACGGGGGCCCGCACAAGCGGUGGAGCAUGUGGUUUAAUUCGAAGCAACGCGUAGAACCUUACCAGGGCUUGACAUCCCUCUGACUGGCAUAGAGAUAUGCCUUCUCUUCGGAGCAGAGGAGACAGGUGG